rnacentral:rRNA from 1 species
GACGAACGCUGGAGGCGUGCUUAACACAUGCAAGUCGAACAAUGAAAUGGAGCUUGCUCCAUGGAUUAGUGGCGAACGGGUGAGUAACACGUGAAUAACCUGCCCUUAAUUUUGGAAUAACCCAGGGAAACCUGGGCUAAUACCGGAUAAGUAAACCUGUGGCAUCACAUGGUUUUGGAAAGUUUUUCGAUUAAGGAUGGAUUCGCGGCCUAUCAGCUUGUUGGUGAGGUAAUGGCUCACCAAGGCGACGACGGGUAGCCGGCCUGAGAGGGUGAACGGCCAAACUGGGACUGAGACACGGCCCAGACUCCUACGGGAGGCAGCAGUGGGGAAUAUUGCGCAAUGGACGAAAGUCUGACGCAGCGACGCCGUGUGAGGGACGAAGGUCUUCGGAUUGUAAACCUCUUUCAGCAGGGACGAAGCGAAAGUGACGGUACCUGCAGAAGAAGCACCGGCUAACUAUGUGCCAGCCGCCGCCGUAA